rnacentral:lncRNA from 1 species
CUAAUUAUAAAGCCGCCAUGUACAUGAUGUUUAGCAACCGCCACACCCCUCCGUUCACUGUUCUGAUCAGGCAAGGCCGACUGCUGCCUCGACGUUGAGCACCGCCUGAGCAUACGUUGUUGUCGGAGGGCGUAGUGAGGAUCCUGAAGCUUGGAGCCAAAUUCGUACGCCACCGUCGCAGGAGACCAUGGUGGUUGGUGUGUUCGUGGUCGUCAUUGAAUCUAUUUCCAACUGUAAUGACUCCCUUCGCUUCUCUCUUCAUUUCUCGAGUCCCGUCGCCGUCGUAGCUCCGGACGUUUCUCCUGUCGUUGAGCUUUUUGGCUGCCAUCAGCCACCGCGAGGUAGGUGGCAGCAAGUGUUUGUGUCACUACGUUUAUUUGGUCUUUACUCAGCUUAUAGUGGCGAAGGAAUGCGUCUAGUUGAGUGUGGGUGUGUAUGACUUGCCGGAAAUCGUUAGCAACCACCAUGGUAGCCAACCAUGGUGGUCGCUGCCACCUGCCACCGUCUUCUGCCGCCACCAGCCGUUGUGGAGGGUGGCUGUGUGUGUGCAUUAUGUGUAAAGUGAGACAUGUGAUUUUGAGUCAAGAUUUCAAGUCACCACCGUUAGAAAUGGUGGAUGCCGCCGGGAGCCGCCGCCGACCACCAUUGCCCGAGGUGGCUGUGAGUGGUGCUGACCUAGUGGAACCGUAAUUAGCCCAAUUACUUAAUAUCGGACCGGGUUGGCUCGUGCUUAGGCUAGAAAUCCUAAUUAGGGUUUAGAAAACCCUAAUUUUAGGUUUGUUUAUUUGGGCCUAUUGGGACCCGCGUUUGGACUAGUGGACUAAAGAUAAAACCCAUGAUAAUUUUAUUAUAUGAUAUAUUAGUGGAGUAAUGGACUUAAUGGGUUAAGUGAGAAAUAAUUAACCCUAAUCUUCAUUUUAUGUGAAAACUCUAACUUUUACUUGGGCCUUGUGAUUGGGAUUUCCUAUUGGGUUUUAAUAUUUGGGCCAUUGAUGGGUCAUCCAAGAGCAGUCAUGUGGACUAGAAUAUUUAGAGGGGCUUUAGGGUAAGGCCCAUAUGAGGGUUUGGCCCAAUUUGGAAAAUUGAGCCAUGGUUGGGCCUUAGUGGGCCCAAUGGACUUGAGUUAUUUAUGGACCAUGUUUAAACAUACUAUGAGAAGGUUGGUCUUAGAUCCUAAUGGGGUUAAUUGUGGGUUUGGCUUAGUGAUAGGAGCUGGAGUGUAGCAACAGCAUUUAUAGGAUCUGUUCGCCACCCAAUGUGAGUCUUCUCACUAUGUGUGAGAUUUAUGUGCAUUGUGUUAUAUGUAUGCUAUGUGUUAUAUAGAACGACCCAGUGGGUCCAACAAGCUAUGAUCGGACCAGUGGGUCCAACGAGCUAUUAUUGGACCAGUAGGUCCAACGAGCUAUGACCGGACCAGUGGGUCCAACGAGCUAUGACCGGACCAAUGGGUCCAACGAGCUAUGAUCGGACCAGUGGGUCCAAUGAUUCAUGAGUGGGUCCAACGAUUCAUGACCGGACCAGUGGGUCCAAUGAGCUAUGACCGGACCAGUGAGUCCAAAGAGCUAUGGGACCGGAGGGUCCCACUGAGACACAUUGACCAGCGGGUCAUAUUGAGUUAUAGCCUCGAGUGGCUAAUGAGCUGUAUGUGGUAUUUUAAGGAACUCACUAAGCUUCGUGCUUACCGUGUUGUGUGUUAUGUGUUUCAGGUACUUCUUAGAAUCACGGGAAGACGACAGUUUGAUUGUACACACGAGAUAAAGAGUUAUCUUUUGGAGGAAUCCUAGAUUAUUAAUCUGACUAUUAUGGAAUUGUGUUUUGUUAAUUGAUUAUUAGGAUUUUUGUGAAAUGUAUUAUGAGAAUUUUUGUAAUUUAAAAAUGUAAAUUUGUUUGAAAUUUUACGGUGUUACAUGUUGGUAUUAAAGCCUUGGUUUGAGGGAUUCAGAUACGCCUUCAGGUAUGUCGUGACUCAAACUGAGGAUUUCAGAAAUUUUUACAAAAGAAACAAUAUUUCUA